GCGCAGGGAAGUGUUUGUGAUCGCUGUGGCUCCCUGAUAGUUAGCGGCGGACGGGUGAGUAACACGUGGGUAACCUGCCUGUAAGACUGGGAUAACUCCGGGAAACCGGGGCUAAUACCGGAUGGUUGUUUGAACCGCAGGUUCAGACAUAAAAGGUGGCUUCGGCUACCACUUACAGAUGGACCCGCGGCGCAUUAGCUAGUUGGUGAGGUAACGGCUCACCAAGGCGACGAUGCGUAGCCCACCUGAGAGGGUGAUCGGCCACACUGGGACUGAGACACGGCCCAGACUCCUACGGGAGGCAGCAGUAGGGAAUCUUCCGCAAUGGACGAAAGUCUGACGGAGCAACGCCGCGUGAGUGAUGAAGGUUUUCGGAUCGUAAAGCUCUGUUGUUAGGGAAGAACAAGUGCCGUUCAAAUAGGGCGGCACCUUGACGGUACCUAACCAGAAAGCCACGGCUAACUACGUGCCAGCAGCCGCGGUAAUACGUAGGUGGCAAGCGUUGUCCGGAAUUAUUGGGCGUAAAGGGCUCGCAGGCGGUUUCUUAAGUCUGAUGUGAAAGCCCCCGGCUCAACCGGGGAGGGUCAUUGGAAACUGGGGAACUUGAGUGCAGAAGAGGAGAGUGGAAUUCCACGUGUAGCGGUGAAAUGCGUAGAGAUGUGGAGGAACACCAGUGGCGAAGGCGACUCUCUGGUCUGUAACUGACGCUGAGGAGCGAAAGCGUGGGGAGCGAACAGGAUUAGAUACCCUGGUAGUCCACGCCGUAACGAUGAGUGCUAAGUGUUAGGGGGUUUCCGCCCCCUUAGUGCUGCAGCUAACGCAUAAGCACUCCGCCUGGGGAGUACGGUCGCAAGACUGAAACUCAAAGGAAUUGACGGGCGCCCGCACAAGCGGUGGAGCAUGUGGUUUUAAUUCGAAGCCAACCUUACCAUCGUGACAUCCGCUGAAUCCUAGAGAUAGGACGUCGCUCUUCGGGCAGAGUGAC
rnacentral:rRNA from 1 species